UCUAAACUAAUCUUAAACUAGGCUCCAAUGUUUUACCCAAUGACUCAGGCCUUCAUCACGAACCUCCUUUGCAUACAUGAUAUGUCGGGGCAUUCCCCGAAUAAAUUAAUUCAAAUCCCUCGAGGCAUUCUCUGGCCAAAUGAGCACAAUUUUAAUUUUUGUACGAUAAAGUAGAACGAACCAUCCACGCACAUAUUCAAACACUCAACAAAUUUUGAUUCUUAAAUUUGCUUACCCUGCCUAGUGUUUGCCUACUAAUUCACCCUAAAACAUGAUAUUAUCAAUUUUAAUGAUGUCAAAGUUUAUUCUGAAUUAAACCAACAAAUAAUGAAUCAAACUAAACACUAUUCACUUAUGAUUGAUUUCAAUUCUCAAUUCCACCCCAAUCUAAUUUUAAAUCAAAAUUCAAACAUAACAAAUCACACUACUAUUUUCGACAAUUCACAAUCAAUUAUUCAUCACCAACAGAGAUCAACCAACACACAAUAUUCCAUUCAAUAUAUCGAAUAUCACAAAUAAUAAAAUAAAAAUAGAGAAAGAGUAGAAUUGGACCUCAAUUUAUAACUUUCAAACUCAAAUAUCAAUCGAGUAAAAAGACAAAAACCGUGUACGAAUAUCCCGAGUAGAAACCUCAAAGACGAAAAAACUCCAACCUCGGUAAUGAAAAAUUGAAACCUGAAACUGAUUCCGACGAAUCGAUUGAGGCGAAUAGAACCUAAACCCCAAACUGAUAAUAAAGAAGGUAGUGUCCCACAACGGAAAACAUGACAAACACCUAAACUUAACAUUUUCUAAUGAGUUUUCGAAGCUGGCUCAAUCGGAGUUAUUGUUUUCUCAGCGUCGGAGCUCCGGUGAGCUCAGACGAGGAUGAAAGAUAGUGGACGGACCAAAAUUUAGGCAGCAGUGGCAUUUUUCGGUGAAGACUUCGCCGAAACAAUCAGCCCGUGUCUCUUUUCUCUCCUCUCUUGCUUAAGUAUCUCUCUCUCUUCUCCCAAUUUCUUUCCCAAACUCCCUUUUUCGGUGAUGUGGCUGGGUAAUAUUGGUAUGUGAGUGUGUGUUCAUCUCUAUUUUUGGAUCUGUGCAUGCGUGAGCUCUGAGUGACGGUGUAGUCAGUGUGUGCGUGAUGUGUGUUCUCUCGUGGAAAUUAAAGUUGUGCGUGUAAAGCCGUGUGUAUGCGUGUUCUCCUCUGUUGAGGUCUGCGUGUGAGGUGUGUGUGUGAAUCAGUGGUGCGUGAAUAUGUGUAUAAGAAGACAAUGGAGAUAGAGGAGAGUGUAUUUCCUGAGGUAAUG
rnacentral:lncRNA from 1 species